UGUCGGAUGUGGAUCCAGUAACAGUCGAAGAGUACCCUCGUCGGCCUCUUCUUUGCAUCGAGCCGCCCGCCCCUUCUUCGCUUCCGCGAAAGGGUGGCGAGGGCGUCUUGGGCCGUCGAGCUUGAUUUGGACCUCGCCGUCCCCUAUCGUCGUCGCUCGGGGCGUAGCGGUCGUCCGAGGCUGCCACCCAACGCCUUUGUCGCCCCCGCCAAACGACGACAGUGAUCAGUUUCAGGCUAGUUUUGUUUUACUGCAACCUUGGAUAUCUCACCGGCAAGAACCAGUUCAUGGUCUUUGGGUUCCUCCGCAUCCGAUUCUUCUAGUUUGGGAUUGUAUUCUACCUGGUCUUCUUUUUGUUCUGUUGUUUAUCAAAAUAAAGGUGUAUGUUUUAUCCAAAAAUUAUUCCACAACCUGCAACUAUGAUCGAGUCUUUUUCUGGUAAAUCUCAUCUUCUGUUCUUCCUCCUCA